rnacentral:tRNA from 1 species
UAGCUCAGUUGGUAAAGAAUCUGCCUGCAAUGCAGGCAACCCAGGUUCAAUUCCUGG